GUGUGUGUGUGUGUGUGGUACCUCAGGAGGUGUGUGUGUGUGUGUGGUACCUCAGGAGGUGUGUGUGUGUGUGGGGUACCUCAGGAGGUGUGUGUGGGGUACCUCAGGAGGUGUGUGUGGGGUACCUCAGGAGGUGUGUGUGGGGUACCUCAGGAGGUGUGUGUGUGGGGUACCUCAGGAGGUGUGUGUGUGGUACCUCAGGAGGUGUGUGUGGUACAUGGUGUGUGGUACCUCAGGAGGUGUGUGUGUGUGGUACCUCAGGAGGUGUGUGUGGGGUACCUCAGGAGGUGUGUGUGGGGUACCUCAGGAGGUGUGUGUGUGUGGGGUACCUCAGG